rnacentral:tRNA from 1 species
GGGGCCGUCGUCUAGCCAGGUCUAGGACAACCGGCUCCAGACCGGUUAACCUGGGUUCGAAUCCCAGCGGCCCCA